AUAUAUAUAUAUAUAUAUUUGGAAGUAUAAUCUUAAAAAGUCACCUAGAAUAAAGGAGCAGAAGGGCAUAAUCCAGGAGAGAUUUCUGCUCAGGAUGAGCAGCAAGUCUUGUGUUUCCUGUUUUCCUGCAGUCACGUUCACAUUGCAUUUAAAAGCAGGAAGACUGCUUAUCAAUAGCAUUGCUACUUAACAUUGUGCUUCAAAUCUCAUGGUAAAUUACAAGAAAUAAAAGGCACCAGGUGGUUUUUAUAAUAACAAGAUAGGCAGAGGUUUCUAGCAACAAAUUAACAAACAUAGACCAACCUAUGGAAACAUAUCAAAUUUUAAUCAGAAGAUUUUGAAGAUCUAUAUAACUAUAAGACAUCAAUUCACAGAUAGACUUGGUAUCAUAAAGCUUUAUGUUUUCCUCAAGUUCAUCUUUCAAAUUAGAAUUUCAACAGUGGCUUCAGUGAAACUUAACAAGAUGAUAUAAAAAUUCAUGGGAACUGGCAAAAUACCAGAACAUACAUAAACAAGACAUUCCUGAAGAAUGAAAAAAAAAAAGAAAGAAAAAAAAAGGAAGAAGAAAACUCCGGUGGGAAGACUUGCCAUUGGAGUCUUCUACAUGCAAUCACAACUGUUGUGAGCUCACGUGUGCCGUAGACCUGCCAUGUCUAACCAUCAGCACGGAUGGGGAGGGGCUCAUGAAGUCCCUAGCUGAGAAGCUAUUGGCAAUUGAUGGCUUCUUGGGGAAGGACAGUCAAGGAUGCAGCUCCACAAGCCGGUAGAUGGAUCGUCACCCACGAAUACACAGCCUUAUGCCCCAACAUCUGGCCUCGUCUUUGUGCGUGAUCCACAUGGAGCCGAGUGGAACACACAUUCUGCAGUCUAGGGGAAAUGUUCCCAAAACGUCACUCAGCCCUCAUGAUUGAUGACAUGGGUCACUUCCACCUGUUUUCUGUCUACUUGUCCCAUCGGCUAUGGAAGUGGAGAUGUCGAAGUUGGGCACACAUGAAUUUAUAUUCGGGUAAUACGAACAUCGAUUUCUAAGAAAAGGAGACAAAAAAGAAAGACUGCUAUAAGUGGGGGAGUGGUAGGAGACAUCCAUCUGUGAUACUCGCAUAUCUUACCUGGGUUAUAAGUGAACAACACCACGUUGGAAUGUUUCGUCUUUGUUUGACUAGUUGCUGCACAGUCAACAGACAGAAAAUAUCCUAAAGAGCCUCUCCAUUGUGCUCUUGGCUGCAUGUGAAGUGCUCCUGGGUGAACUGGAGGGGUGGGUCCUGUGGAUGGCUACACUCUCUGGACAGCAAGACUUACGGCUAGACCAUCAUCCCAAUACUCUUCAGAAAGCUCCUGAUGUACCUUUUAAGCACUCAGUUUCAUUAGAGCAGCAGCAAAAUGCUUUUAUAGAAAUUUACAACAUUAAUAUUCUUUUCAAAGUUGCCCUCCUUAUGAUCACUUUUAUGAACAAGAUUUUUAAGCAGGAAAUUCAUGGUAGGAUUAGCUCUUAUAGUCUCACAGUAUUGCAGCCAGGAGGCAGGUUUUAGCCUGUUUAUUAGAGAAAAGGGUUCCUGACAGUCCAGGAACAGGCCAUGGCUUCCAGGCUUCCCAUGGGUAUAGAUUAAUGACAAGAACAGUAUGUUGAAAAAUUAGAUGGCCCUGGGAAGCAUAGUUUUGUCUUAAAUUCAUGUGCACCCUCUUACGUUUCCCCUGUGAUAAAAAUAAA